rnacentral:rRNA from 1 species
UACAGAGGUCCCAAGCGUUGUUCGGAUUUACUGGGCGUAAAGGGUGCGUAGGUGGUUGGGUAAGUUUGAUGUGAAAUCUCCGGGCUUAACCCGGAAAUGGCAUUGAAUACUAUUCGGCUAGAGGUUUGGAGGGGGGACUGGAAUUCUUGGUGUAGCAGUGAAAUGCGUAGAUAUCAAGAGGAACACCAGUGGCGAAGGCGAGUCCCUGGACAACACCUGACACUGAGGCACGAAAGCUAGGGGAGCAAACAGG